rnacentral:rRNA from 1 species
UACAGAGGUCCCAAGCGUUGUUCGGAUUCACUGGGCGUAAAGGGUGCGUAGGUGGCGAGGUAAGUCGGAUGUGAAAGCUCGGAGCUCAACUCCGAAAUGGCAUUGGAAACUACCUUGCUCGAGGGUUGGAGGGGGGACUGGAAUACUUGGUGUAGCAGUGAAAUGCGUAGAUAUCAAGUGGAACACCAGUGGCGAAGGCGAGUCCCUAGACAACUCCUGACACUGAGGCACGAAAGCUAGGGGAGCAAACAGG